CUGAUAAAGAAGAUGGAAAAAGUAUUAUGGACUCUUGUUUAAGAAAAAUUUGAAGUAUAUUGGAUAUCUAUAAAGUGACUUCCAAUCUCAAACAUAUGUACGAAACAUAUUUCAUUCAAAUGAAGAAACCCAAUGUGAUCGGGGAGUUACAUAUGUUUUAUAGUUAUUAUAGACUAUCCCAUUUGGGAUUUACUUAAUUAAGUGCCUCGGAUUCUGCCAGAAUUAAGCUUGUCCAGUUGAUGCCGUCUUGUUGAGGAAAAGAAUAUGAAAACGGCCGAAAAAGAUUGUAUCCACUCAGAGGUCGAGGGAAGCCUAGCGGAUUGCAUAUGCCAAAAAUAUUAGCCGGGGGUGAAUUUUUAGAAAUCCACCGAGACAUAUAUAACCGAGAUGAUUUCGUCAAUGGAACAAAUAAAGAGUGAUUCCAGUGGAAGAGAGAGCUCGGCAGAUGUCAACAUUGACGUUGGUUAAUAUGCCAACGGCGUAGAUGGUGAGAGGACCAAAGUAGCCAUAUUUCUCCAAAAACCGUUUAAUGCACGGACUGACCCGACGAGGAUCAAAGCCAAAAGGGAAGUGGAAACUUAUUGAUGUCCCAAACGACACAUGUUUCAGCCACAGCCUCCUCGGACGUAGCAAUCUUUGGUCGCUCCGUCACAAUAGUGGGAGGAUUCUCAUCCUCCUCCCUGGAUAUGUCAUAAUAUUUAGAUGAAUGGAAUGGCAAGUGAUCCAAUUACCUCUGCGUAGAAGUGAGAAAGGGAAAAUAAGUAAGACUCAAAAAUGAAACUAACAAGUCUGUCUGGCUUGGCUAGGAUGCUUAAUAAUAAGCUGUUCUGAAUGUUCUCGAGAAGAAAGAUGACUGGUGAAACUUUCAAAGCAUGAUUCCAGUGGAAGAGAGAGCUUGACGGAUGUCAACAUGGACGUCUGUUAGUAUACCAACGGCGUAGAUGGUGAGAGGUUGACCACAGUAGCCAUGUUUCUCCAACAACUCUUUCAUGCACGGGCGGACCCGACGAGCAUCAAAGCCAGGGUACCGAAAACCGUUUGACGUCCCAAAAGACACAUGUUUCAGCCACUGCCUCCUCCGCCGUAGCCUUCUUCAUCGUUCAAGAACCUGAGAGAUACGCACGCAGAAGUUGGUUGAAUCUCGAAAUUGUCUAGCUAGGGUUUCGAAGUCCUUUUAUUGAAGAAAAAAAAAGGAUAGCAACGCUGCCUUGGCGUCCACGCGCUGAUAUUUUAUAUAUACGGGGUUUAGGGUUUAGGCCUUUUGGGCCUAGUGAUCGGUAUAUAAACAAAACCUUCAUGUGAAAGAUAUUUAUUAUCAUCUCUUCCUUCUCUCCCAAAACCCUAAAGUCGCAGCUCUGCAAAUCUCUUAAAGAUUCUCUCUUUCAAUUCAAGAUGCAAAUUUUCGUGAAAACACUCAUUGGCAAGGUGAUAAGUUAUCUGUACCGUUGGCUUUUCUCUGCAAGAGACAGAGAGCACGAAUUUAUCGUAGGUAGAAAACCAAGUGGCUAACAAUCGAUGAUGUCAAGGCUAAGAUUCAGGACAAGGAAGGGAUCCCUCCGGACCAACAGAGACUCAUCUUCGUUGGGAAACAGCUUAAGGAUGGUCGGACUCUUGCAGAUUACAAGAUCCAGAAGGUCUCUUGGUUCUUCGAGCUUUGUGAUCUGUGGUCAAAAGUGGUGUUGUUUGAUUGAGCCUCAUGCGCUUGGGAAGUGACUUGUGGAAAAGAAAACGACUUUGUCUAUCGUUUGUUACUUGUUAGGUUUCAUUUUCGGUUUUCAUUGUUUUGUGAUUUCACGUUAGAAAAAUUGUUUUGUGAUUUCACGUUCUUAUUUUUUAAGCCUUCUCAAUCACAUAAGAAGCAUUCUCAGUCAAACAUGAAAAAGCAUUGUUAUUUUUUCUUUCA